rnacentral:rRNA from 1 species
UGUGGCUGGGGGUGAAAGGCCAAUCAAACCGGGAGAUAGCUGGUUCUCCCCGAAAGCUAUUUAGGUAGCGCCUCGUGAAUUCAUCUUCGGGGGUAGAGCACUGUUUCGGCUAGGGGGUCAUCCCGACUUACCAACCCGAUGCAAACUACGAAUACCGAAGAAUGUUAUCACGGGAGACACACGGCGGGUGCUAACGUCCGUCGUGAAGAGGGAAACAACCCAGACCGCCAGCUAAGGUCCCAAAGUCAUGGUUAAGUGGGAAACGAUGUGGGAAGGCACAGACAGCCAGGAUGUUGGCUUAGAAGCAGCCAUCAUUUAAAGAAAGCGUAAUAGCUCACUGGUCGAGUCGGCCUGCGCGGAAGAUGUAACGGGGCUAAACCAUGCACCGAAGCUGCGGCAGCGACACUAUGUGUUGUUGGGUAGGGGAGCGUUCUGUAAGCCUGCGAAGGUGACCUGUGAGGGUUGCUGGAGGUAUCAGAAGUGCGAAUGCUGACAUAAGUAACGAUAAAGCGGGUGAAAAGCCCGCUCGCCGGAAGACCAAGGGUUCCUGUCCAACGUUAAUCGGGGCAGGGUGAGUCGACCCCUAAGGCGAGGCCGAAAGGCGUAGUCGAUGGGAAACAGGUUAAUAUUCCUGUACUUGGUGUUACUGCGAAGGGGGGACGGAGAAGGCUAUGUUAGCCGGGCGACGGUUGUCCCGGUUUAAGCAUGUAGGCUGGUUAUCCAGGCAAAUCCGGAUAAUCAAGGCUGAGGUGUGAUGACGAGGCACUACGGUGCUGAAGUAACAAAUGCCCUGCUUCCAGGAAAAGCCUCUAAGCAUCAGGUAACAUCAAAUCGUACCCCAAACCGACACAGGUGGUCAGGUAGAGAAUACCAAGGCGCUUGAGAGAACUCGGGUGAAGGAACUAGGCAAAAUGGUGCCGUAACUUCGGGAGAAGGCACGCUGGUGUGUAGGUGAAGUCCCUGCGGAUGGAGCUGAGACCAGUCGAAGAUACCAGCUGGCUGCAACUGUUUAUUAAAAACACAGCACUGUGCAAACACGAAAGUGGACGUAUACGGUGUGACGCCUGCCCGGUGCCGGAAGGUUAAUUGAUGGGGUUAUCCGUAAGGAGAAGCUCUUGAUCGAAGCCCCGGUAAACGGCGGCCGUAACUAUAACGGUCCUAAGGUAGCGAAAUUCCUUGUCGGGUAAGUUCCGACCUGCACGAAUGGCGUAAUGAUGGCCAGGCUGUCUCCACCCGAGACUCAGUGAAAUUGAACUCGCUGUGAAGAUGCAGUGUACCCGCGGCAAGACGGAAAGACCCCGUGAACCUUUACUAUAGCUUGACACUGAACAUUGAGCCUUGAUGUGUAGGAUAGGUGGGAGGCUUUGAAGCGUGGACGCCAGUCUGCGUGGAGCCAACCUUGAAAUACCACCCUUUAAUGUUUGAUGUUCUAACGUUGGCCCCUUACCGGGGUUGCGGACAGUGUCUGGUGGGUAGUUUGACUGGGGCGGUCUCCUCCCAAAGCGUAACGGAGGAGCACGAAGGUUAGCUAAUCCUGGUCGGACAUCAGGAGGUUAGUGCAAUGGCAUAAGCUAGCUUGACUGCGAGCGUGACGGCGCGAGCAGGUGCGAAAGCAGGUCAUAGUGAUCCGGUGGUUCUGAAUGGAAGGGCCAUCGCUCAACGGAUAAAAGGUACUCCGGGGAUAACAGGCUGAUACCGCCCAAGAGUUCAUAUCGACGGCGGUGUUUGGCACCUCGAUGUCGGCUCAUCACAUCCUGGGGCUGAAGUAGGUCCCAAGGGUAUGGCUGUUCGCCAUUUAAAGUGGUACGCGAGCUGGGUUUAGAACGUCGUGAGACAGUUCGGUCCCUAUCUGCCGUGGGCGCUGGAGAAUUGAGGGGGGCUGCUCCUAGUACGAGAGGACCGGAGUGGACGCAUCACUGGUGUUCGGGUUGUCAUGCCAAUGGCACUGCCCGGUAGCUAAAUGCGGAAGAGAUAAGUGCUGAAAGCAUCUAAGCACGAAACUUGCCCCGAGAUGAGUUCUCCCUGAGACUUUAAGUCUCCUGAAGGAACGUUAAAGACGAUGACGUUGAUAGGCCGGGUGUGUAAGCGCAGCGAUGCGUUGAGCUAACCGGUACUAAUGAACCGUGAGGCUUAACC